rnacentral:rRNA from 1 species
UGGGGAAUUUUGGACAAUGGGCGAAAGCCUGAUCCAGCAAUGCCGCGUGUGUGAAGAAGGCCUUCGGGUUGUAAAGCACUUUUGUCCGGAAAGAAAUCCUUGGCUCUAAUACAGUCGGGGGAUGACGGUACCGGAAGAAUAAGCACCGGCUAACUACGUGCCAGCAGCCGCGGUAAUACGUAGGGUGCAAGCGUUAAUCGGAAUUACUGGGCGUAAAGCGUGCGCAGGCGGUUUGCUAAGACCGAUGUGAAAUCCCCGGGCUCAACCUGGGAACUGCAUUGGUGACUGGCAGGCUAGAGUAUGGCAGAGGGGGGUAGAAUUCCACGUGUAGCAGUGAAAUGCGUAGAGAUGUGGAGGAAUACCGAUGGCGAAGGCAGCCCCCUGGGCCAAUACUGACGCUCAUGCACGAAAGCGUGGGGAGCAAACAGGAUUAGAUACCCUGGUAGUCCACGCCCUAAACGAUGUCAACUAGUUGUUGGGGAUUCAUUUCCUUAGUAACGUAGCUAACGCGUGAAGUUGACCGCCUGGGGAGUACGGUCGCAAGAUUAAAACCAAUCAAUGAAUUGACGGGGUCAUAGCUGUUUCCU